GACGAACGCUGGCGGCGUGCCUAAUACAUGCAAGUCGAACGAGAGCGACCGGUGCUUGCACUGGUCAAUCUAGUGGCGAACGGGUGAGUAACACGUGGGUAACCUGCCCAUCAGAGGGGGAUAACAUUCGGAAACGGAUGCUAAAACCGCAUAGGUCUUCGAACCGCAUGGUUUGAAGAGGAAAAGAGGCGCAAGCUUCUGCUGAUGGAUGGACCCGCGGUGCAUUAGCUAGUUGGUGAGGUAACGGCUCACCAAGGCCGUGAUGCAUAGCCGACCUGAGAGGGUGAUCGGCCACAUUGGGACUGAGACACGGCCCAAACUCCUACGGGAGGCAGCAGUAGGGAAUCUUCCGCAAUGGACGCAAGUCUGACGGAGCAACGCCGCGUGAGUGAAGAAGGUUUUCGGAUCGUAAAACUCUGUUGUUAGAGAAGAACAAGUGCUAGAGUAACUGUUAGCGCCUUGACGGUAUCUAACCA
rnacentral:rRNA from 1 species